ACAGCCAUACCAUACUGAAUAUAUCGGUUCUCGUUAGAUCACCGAAGUCAAGCAUCAUUGGGUGGGUGACCACCUGGGAACACCGCGUGCCGUUG